ACAAUACUCCCUCCGUUCAGAAAAACCUGUCCAUCAAAUGGAUGUAUCUAGCACCAAGUUAGUGCUAAAUACAUCCAUUUGAUGGACAAGCUUGGGACAAGCUUUUCCGGACGGAGGGAGUACUAU
rfam:Triticum urartu cultivar G1812 contig465244, whole genome shotgun sequence.